UCGAAUUUAUCUACAGACUCAACUGCUCAGCGGCGAUGAAUCAGUGACGUCAGUUAGGCCGUGUUAUCAGCGAUUCAUAUAGUCCCCGAAACUUGUCAUCGCGAGCAUGCGAGAUAACCACCGUCCGAAAUAAUCGCUUUGAUCUUUUGCAUUUUCUUGUUUCACAGCAAUUAUUUAAUGGGUACCUGCCCUUUUUGUUGCCGCGGCCAUGAAACGCGUCUACGUGAAAUGAUCAAAUAGAUCUUUUAUCCGUGGACUUCGUUCGUCGAACCGGAACGCGACCGAAAACUAUUAUCACUGUAUACACUACACAUUGUUCGUCGCGCACUGAAAUUAAUAUUUAUCAACGCGCAAUAUUUGUUGUUGUACGUUUGCAGCGAAACGUGCUUAAUUCUACGCGACAAAGAUGAAUCUCC